UAGGGAAUCUUCGGCAAUGGGGGGAACCCUGACCGAGCAACGCCGCGUGAGUGAAGAAGGUUUUCGGAUCGUAAAGCUCUGUUGUUAAGGAAGAACGAGUGUGAGAAUGGAAAGUUCAUACUGUGACGGUACUUAACCAGAAAGGGACGGCUAACUACGUGCCAGCAGCCGCGGUAAUACGUAGGUCCCGAGCGUUGUCCGGAUUUAUUGGGCGUAAAGCGAGCGCAGGCGGUUAGAUAAGUCUGAAGUUAAAGGCAGUGGCUCAACCAUUGUAAGCUUUGGAAACUGUUUAACUUGAGUGCAGAAGGGGAGAGUGGAAUUCCAUGUGUAGCGGUGAAAUGCGUAGAUAUAUGGAGGAACACCGGAGGCGAAAGCGGCUCUCUGGUCUGUAACUGACGCUGAGGCUCGAAAGCGUGGGGAGCGAACAGG
rnacentral:rRNA from 1 species